AUCGCGCUAGCUCAAUUGGUAGAGUCCCCGCCUCCAAAGCGGGUGGAUGAGUGUUCAAAUCAUUCGUGCGGUG
rnacentral:tRNA from 1 species